rnacentral:misc_RNA from 1 species
UACAGAGACCCCAAGCGUUAUCCGGAAUUAUUGGGCGUAAAGGGUGCGUAGGUUGUUUUGUUAGUCUUCUGUUAAAGUCCGAGGCUUAACCUCGGGUUCACAGAGGAAACGGCAAGACUAGAGAGUGGGAGAGGUUUGUGGAACCCAUAGUGUAGGGGUGAAAUCCGUUGAUAUUAUGGGGAACACCGAAGGCGAAGGCAACAAACUGGCCCAUUUCUGACACUGAGGCACGAAACCCUGGGUAGCGAAAGGG